CGCGAAGAACCUUACCUGGUCUUGACAUCCACGGAAGUUUUCAGAGAUGAGAAUGUGCCUUCGGGAACCGUGAGACAGGUGCUGCAUGGCUGUCGUCAGCUCGUGUUGUGAAAUGUUGGGUUAAGUCCCGCAACGGGCGCAACCCUUAUCCUUUGUUGCCAGCGGUCCGGCCGGGAACUCAAAGGAGACUGCCAGUGAUAAACUGGAGGAAGGUGGGGAUGACGUCAAGUCAUCAUGGCCCUUACGACCAGGGCUACACACGUGCUACAAUGGCGCAUACAAAGAGAAGCGACCUCGCGAGAGCAAGCGGACCUCAUAAAGUGCGUCGUAGUCCGGAUUGGAGUCUGCAACUCGACUCCAUGAAGUCGGAAUCGCUAGUAAUCGUGGAUCAGAAUGCCACGGUGAAUACGUUCCCGGGUCUUGUACACACC
rnacentral:rRNA from 1 species